AUGUGGAUGGAAGUCUUGAGGAGUGGGAGGGUAGGAGAAGGCUCUGUGGUGAGGUUUCAGUCAUAAUCUCAUCAGUCUUCCCUAUUCCUCCCAUUCCUAUUGCCUCCCUUCACAAUGUAAC
rnacentral:pre_miRNA from 1 species